GUACUGGCUAAAACAUCAAAUUCUUCCUUCCUUACUGAAAUCAACAUUAUUCUGGAAAUGUAGUGGUCGUUGAGCUCCUGGGAGCAUAUCCUGCAUUUCCUAUCCAUCAGAGUUAUGAGGAUCAAAUGAAUUACAGAACACUGCUGGUUCCCACCUGCUGGAGAAUUUUGCCCUGAUAAGGGAUACUCACUGCAGAACCAUUUCCAUGUCAUCAUCCCAGUUUCUAGACCAUGCCUGAUGCCAAGAAAUUAAAGUGCUUCCUGCUGUUAUCUGUUAUGCAUUUCCUAAGGAGCCAAGGACAGUUGGAGUCUUAUAGAACUAAUCCCUCGUCUCAGCCUGGAUUUUUUUGUCUGCUUCAUCAUCUAUGACUUUUGUCUGGGCUUUGAUGAAAGACUGUCAAUCUCAAGAGACUUCCCAUUUGGCUAUAGACCCCACCCUUCCAUCAGAAUACUUGCAGUGUGAAGAACUCCAAGAUCUGUCCUUUUCUCUUGACAGCAGCCACGGACAUCCAAAGGUAUCUGUCUGUACUUCCACUGUAGAGAAGAG
rnacentral:lncRNA from 1 species